rnacentral:rRNA from 1 species
GAGAGCGAUGUCGACCUGGCAGCUUGUGCCCUUGAGGCGUGGCUUCCGGAGCUAACGCGUUAAAUCGACCGCCUGGGGAGUACGGCCGCAAGGUUAAAACUCAAAUGAAUUGACGGGGGCCCGCACAAGCGGUGGAGCAUGUGGUUUAAUUCGAUGCAACGCGAAGAACCUUACCUGGUCUUGACAUCCACAGAACUUUCCAGAGAUGGAUUGGUGCCUUCGGGAACUGUGAGACAGGUGCUGCAUGGCUGUCGUCAGCUCGUGUUGUGAAAUGUUGGGUUAAGUCCCGCAACGAAAAUUG